rnacentral:lncRNA from 1 species
CACUAUGUGCCCCCAGUAUAGCAGUCAGGUGCCUUUCUGCUCCAGGCGCAACCUCUGCCCUGAACCCCAAACCAGCUCGCUGCGAGGCCCCUUCGCUUUCCACCGUCUCAGGUCAGGGCAGCUCCAUCACUCCAACGCUGAGGUGAAAGGAUGGCUCAACAUGUCAGAGGCCUUUUAACCAGAGCGAUUCCAUCUUGAAUAGGGACUGGGUAAAAUGAGGGUGAGACCUACUGGGCUGCAUUCCCAGGGGGUUAGACAUUCUUGGCCACAGGAUGAGGUGGUGGGCACAAGAUACAGGUCACAAAGACCGCACUGAUAAGAUGACACAGUAAAGAAACUGGCCCAAAGCCUACCAAAACCAAGAUGGCCACAAAAGUGACCUCUGUGUCCUCAUUGCUCAUUAUUUGCUGAUUAUAACGUAUUAGCAUGCUAAAGGACACUCCUACCAGCGCCAUGAGAGUUUACAAAUGCUAUGGCAACAUCAGGAAAUUACUCUAUAUGGUCUAAAAAGGGGAGGAACCCUCAGUUCCAGCAAUUGCCAACCUCUUUCCCAGAAAACUCAUGAAUAAUCCCCUCCUUAUUUAGCCUAUAAUCAAGAGAUAACUAUAACUAUGUGUGGAGUUAGUUCCUGCCGGUGGGUUCAUGGUCUCACUGACUUCAAGAAUGAAGCUGCGGACCUUCACAGUGUUACAGCUCUUAAAGGUGGCAUAGACCCAAAGAGUGAGCAGCAGCAAGAUUUAUUAUGAAGAGGCCGGGCGUGGUGGCUCAUGCCUGUAAGCCCAGCACUUUGGGAGGCCGAGGCGGGUGGAUCACAAGGUCAGGAGAUCGAGACCAUCUUGGCUAACACGGUGAAACCCUGUCUCUACUAAAAAUACAAAAAAUUAGCCGGACAUGGUGGCGGGCGCCUGUAAUCCCAGCUACCCAGGAGGCUGAGGCAGGAGAAUGGCGUGAACCUGGGAGGCAGAGCUUCCAGUGAGCCGAGAUCGGGCCACUGCACUCCAGCCUGGGCCA